rnacentral:rRNA from 1 species
UACCAGCACCCCGAGUGGUCGGGACGUUUAUUGGGCCUAAAGCAUCCGUAGCCGGUUCUACAAGUCUUCCGUUCAAUCCACCUGCUUAACAGAUGGGCUGCGGAAGAUACUAUAGAGCUAGGAGGCGGGAGAGGCAAGCGGUACUCGAUGGGUAGGGGUAAAAUCCGUUGAUCCAUUGAAGACCACCAGUGGCGAAGGCGGCUUGCCAGAACGCGCUCGACGGUGAGGGAUGAAAGCUGGGGGAGCAAACCGG